rnacentral:rRNA from 1 species
GACGAACGCUGGCGGCGUGCUUAACACAUGCAAGUCGAACGGAAAGGCCCUGCUUUUGUGGGGUGCUCGAGUGGCGAACGGGCGAGUAACACGUGAGUAACCUGCCCUUGACUUUGGGAUAACUUCAGGAAACUGGGGCUAAUACCGGAUAGGAGCUCCUGCUGCAUGGUGGGGGUUGGAAAGUUUCGGCGGUUGGGGAUGGACUCGCGGCUUAUCAGCUUGUUGGUGGGGUAGUGGCUUACCAAGGCUUUGACGGGCAGCCGGCCUGAGAGGGUGACCGGCCACAUUGGGACUGAGAUACGGCCCAGACUCCUACGGGAGGCAGCAGUGGGGAAUAUUGCACAAUGGGCGGAAGCCUGAUGCAGCAACGCCGCGUGCGGGAUGACGGCCUUCGGGUUGUAAACCGCUUUCGCCUGUGACGAAGCGUGAGUGACGGUAAUGGGUAAAGAAGCACCGGCUAACUACGUG